UAUGUCUGAUUCUGAGUUCCAUGUAAUUAUUUUUAGAGUAUAUAUCUAGAGUUAGUUGUUUACGUUAGAUAUUAAAAAUUUCGAUUCAAAACGUAAAACAGAGUAAACGUAAAACACUGUGCACGAUUUAGCUUUAGAAUUGUAAGUGUUUAUUCAAUUUCAAAUUCUAAAUCUACCUUUUUUUCUAAAACAUACUCCGUCCUUUUAACUUGGAUGCCAUAGGGGAGUUUCGACAAUUAUUCCAAAACCUAACUAUGAUCAUUAUGAUAAGGUGGUUUUUCAUGAGUUUUACUGUGUGCACUAGAUUUUCUAAUGCUUUCGGUAAAUCAAAAAACAUGUUUUUGACUUCUUUUUUAUUCUUUGUAGAUUAGUUAGUUGUUCAAGAUAAACCAAAUCAUGUCUUCCAUAUUCCUCUUCUAGCCUCGUCAUUAUUUCUGUAACGUUUUCAUAUUCCAUCCUUAGCUGUUGAACGAGCUGCAACGCUUUUCCGUUCAAAGCUUGUUUUAAACGGUUUAGAUUUUCUAAAUCCGUAAAACUGCCCUCUUAGUUUGUUUUAUCAAACGUUUGCUUGAAUUUCGUCCAUUCUUUUGGAUCGCCUCCAAACUUCGGCAACUGCAUCAAGGAUUGCCUUCUGAUAAGGGUUUCCUCGUGCGAUGGCUUCUUUUUAUCAUCAACUAAUAUUUUAAUGACGUUAAGAAUGUCUCUCAUUUGAUCUUUUUUGCUGAGGAUCAAAUCCUUUAUGGAGGUUUCAAUGUUCGUCUCUUGUUCCUUUCCCUCCUUGCCCUUGUCGAUUUCCUUUGUCAAGCUUGUAAGACGAUUAAUUUCGUACUUGAUGCUUUGACAUUUCGGACAUAACCAAUAUUCUUCUCGUUUAGGCAGUCGUUGUAAUUUAACACACGACAAGUGGAACCAACGAUCGCAAUCAUUGCAUUGCGUCAUCGUUGGUUCGCUCGUGUCCAUCCCGGUACAUAAUCGGCAUGCGCCGUUUGGAUUAGUAACAAAUUUCACAGACAUUUUGGACGAAUCGAUGAUUUCCUUGCCUUUUGUUAAUUAGAAAAGGAAAUUGGCUUACCUGGAUAUGUUCCUUUGUUUCCUUUUGAUGUGGUGCAAGGACGACGUUCUCCUUGUCUGGCGUUGGCUGCGUUGUGAUGAAUUGUGACACGAUCACAACACUUUUUUGUACGAUUGUUCAGUAAUAUAAUUAAACAACACGAGUUCAACGGAAGAGGAAAAAUUGUUCUUUCACAAGCGAUGAGAAAUAUGAUUUUGACGUUACAAUUUAAUAUCUUUUUAUUUUAAACUCAUUCACUAACUUUUUCACUUCGUUCACUGGAGUACACAAAAAAUAUUUGUUUAUAUAUUUUAACACUACUCCGCUCUGGAGCCAUUAAUAUUUAUUUCGUUAACGAAAUUCGCGAAGUCGCGGAAAGUUAGUUGAGCGGUUAAGAAAAACUCUGUACACGGGUGCACAGUUAGGCGUUAGAAUUGUGAGUGUUUAUUUCAACUCAAAAUGAAUUCUUAUAUACUAUUUUCUUGAAGUUCUAUUGUGGGAAAGUUAUUUUCUCUUCCUUUUACGCAUAUAUUUAUGCCACUAGCCUUUUCCAUUUUUUAUUGCUUUCUCUGGUGAGGACAAAAAUUGUUGCAUUGAUUGCAGGCGUUGUGAUUUUCCCUUUUUGGCGUAACUGUACCUAACACUUGAAUCCUGUGGUGCAUGUUCCGAAUGUAUUGUAUCAUUGACAAAUACUUGAACUUAUUGCUUUUCGAAUUCAUUAUCUGGUUAAUGUUAUUGACGCAUCUGCGUUUGAGUGAUUUUAUGGUCCUGGGAAACAUAGAUGUAGAAUUUUCCUACGCUUCUUGGAAUUGGUCUAGUUUGACACACGUGCAUGCUGUAAUCCUGAAAUAACCGUUAUGGGUUCGAAAUGAAAUGAAGUAAUUGACUGCUAAAACAUGCAAGUUAAUAAAACCAGAUGGCCCUACUUGAAGGGUUUAGGAUUACAAUAUGUUUGUCUCCUUGAUGGGUACGUCUGUUCUUGAGUACGUAUAAACUAUCAAAUAUUAUUCUUUUUUAUGAGUUGAAAGAAAUAUAAAACAAAUCGAUUGUCGCGUUCGCAACAAAAGGUAUUGAUAAUUAGAGCUCCUAGCAAAUUCUGAAUGAAAAAAAAUGGUCUGAAAAAUAAUUUUGAUUUUUAUUUCGCUCGUAUUUCGAUAAUUCGCUCGUAUUAUUUCUUAUAAUUCAAUAAUAGUAAUAAUUUCAUCAAUAUUAAUAUUUCAAUUUUAUUAAUUGUCAUCAAUCAUCAAUCUCAUCAAAGUAUUAGAAUUAAUUCAAAAAGAUGUCAAAGUCAAAGUUUAAUUGAAGCUAUGCAGUUUAAAUUAAGCAUAGCUAGCUCAUAAAAAGAAAUAUAGCUAAAUUAAAAUUAGGAUAUUGUAAACUAGUAGAAUGAUUGCCAAUUAUCAAUAUAAGCUAGCCAUAAGUCAAACAUCAGUUGUCGACCAAUCAUUUGAAACAACUUAAAGAUCACGUGUGUUAUUGUAGGAAAUUAUUUCUUCCUUGUCUUUUAAAAGGCGGUACUGCCACGUACUGCACGUUGACAAAUUAGGAAAAAGUGGAUAAAAUGUUACUAAAUUAUUUAAAUAAUAAAUGCACAAGAAUACAGUACAUAGAACUCAGAUAGAAACAAAUAGCAUUCAACUCGAAAUCUCCAAAUAGUAUGUUUAAAUAUAAUUAAAGUAAUGAUUGACAUUAGAGCUCUCCAAGAUGAGGACGGAGAGGUUUACCGUCGAAAUGCACCAUCUGAUCGUGAGAAUUUGAAAGCAGAAAAAACUACCGGAGGAGUGGAAGCUGGGUGUCUUAUUGCCACCUACAAGAUCCUGUCCCAGAACUUGUUCUGCAUACUUGCGCCCCUGGCUACAACUUUGGUCGACAGUUACCAAGCUGGGUUGGUUAGAGAUAAAUCCACCACCGAUCAAAUUUUUGCUCUUCGGCAGAUCCUCCAAAUGUGCCAAGAGCGCCAACGCACCACCAUUCAUCGACUUCAAGGCGGCCUUUGACACCAUAGAUCGGAAUGAACUAUGGAACAUCAUGCAGCGGUACCACUUCCCCGGGUUGAUCCGACUGUAAGAGGCUACCAUGAACGGGGUGCAGUUCAAAGUGAGAGUAUCGAACUUGUCGUCGGAAUCGUUCGAAUCUCACAGAGGUCUGAGGCAAGGGGACGGACUCUUCUGUCUGCUCUUCAACAUCGCCCUGGAAGGUGUCAUUCGAAGCGAGGGGCUAGAUAACGACAUUCGUGGCACGAUCCUCUACCGGUCUCUCCAAUUUCUUAGCUACGCGGAUGACAUCGACAUCAUCGGAAGUGACAACAGCGAAGAUGUAUGAGGCGUACACCCGACGCAAACGCGAAGCAGCAAGAAUUUGAUUGAGAAUCAAUGCAACAAUGACGAAGUACCUGCUUGCUGGAGACUCAGGGAAGCAGUGUAUAAGUUGACUAGCAUCAGGGAAGCAGUAUAUAAGUUGACGGCGACAAUCUUGAAGUAGUAAAGGAGUUUUGCUAUCUCGGGACGGUCGUUACUUCGGACAACGACAUCAGCAGCGAAAUCCGGAUAGGCAUUGUUCAGGGGAAUCAGGCAUACUAUGGGCUUCACCGACUGCUGAGAUCCAGAAGACUUCGAGCCCACACGAAAAGUUAGAUGUAUUGCACAUUGAUUCGCCCGGUGGUCCUCCAUGGAUACGACUCCUGGAUCAUCCGAUCGGAAGAGGCAAACGCUCUGGGCGUGUUUGAGCGACGCAUCCUCCGGACCAUCUUUGGCAGUGUGUUCGCGCAUGGAGCGUGAGGGAGAAGGAUGAACUACGAGCUUGCUGAGCUGUACGGCGAACCGAGCAUCCUGACCGUGGUGAAGACUGGCAGGAUACGAUGGCUGGGGCAUGUCAUGAGGAUGCCGGACUCAUACCCCACCAAGAGGGUGUUCGACAGCGAUCUCCAGUUCGGCAUAAGGGCAGGGGAGCACAGCGAACUCGAUGGCUGGAUGCCAAACCUGUCAGAGCUAGAGAUCGAGUGUCUACAUGGAUGCAGCCAGGGACCAAGCAUCCUGAAGAAUUAUUGUUAACCAGGCCAUGUCACGACGACGUGCUCUAUCGUGUGCAGUCAGAGACAAGAGCGACAGAGAAAAUCAAGAUUGGAUAAAAUUGCACAAUGUGGCUAGCAAAUUAAGCUGUAUGUAUAAUGUAUUACCCGCAAUCAAAAGGAUGUCAAAAUUAGGAAUAAUAAUGGUUAAGGAUUGUUCGCUUAUUUGUCUCAUAUUAAUAUCGAAUUCUUGGCCAAUUUUGCCAACAAAGGCAAAUACGAGUAAAUUUGUCUUCUUUGGUUGUAAAAAAUACUGCGCAUGCAUAAAAAAAUACUAUGUACGAGUCGAUCUAUACAGCUGAUGUAUACAGUUCCCAUUACACAAUCGAUUCGCCAGCUAAAUAAUGUACUAUAAGAUCCAUUUAGAAAUUCUAUUCUUCAAGCUCACGCGUCAGCAGAUUCUGUCAAACUGCCAGUACUACGUUAUUGCACCAGACCCCAACCUGUCCAUGCGCUUCAACAGCUUUUCUAGCAGCAGGAGCAGUGCAUUCGCAAGUAAUGAUGAACUUGCAUAACUAUUAAUGUUUUUCACUAUUUGAUAUUUUUUAAGAGUUUGAAACGAUUUUUCUUUGUUCUUCGAAAAUCGUCUGGACAGCGAUUAAUUUCAAUACGAGAUGCGACAUAAAUACUACAGGCCAUUUCAAAAUCAAUAGAUAACAGAGAUAAUCAAUAUAGAUAGUGAAAAACUUGUUACCUAGUACUUCGAAGAGUAGAUUAAGUAAUAUUAGAUAACAAAGCUAUAUGCAAUUUUAUUAUUUCGACUGAGGUUAAAAGAUGCUUGGUAGACGAGGUAAAGUAGUAACUGAAUUUUUUUUAGUAGUAGUCGUGUAUGAAACAGUUACACAAAGCGAAUCAAGAAAUGUUUUAAUAGUUUGGAAUAGCUCCCAAUUAAUGUACUUCAAGGUGAUAAAAUUCAUUAAAAUUAAUUAAUGUAUUAACAAUAGUUUAAUAAUCCUACUAUACUUUCGACGUUUACAUUUGUGAAUUUCAGAAAGUUAUAAAGUUUUGAAUAUUAUUUUUACAAUAAAUAUCGUUUCGAUGUAUAACACUCAAUCGUAUUUGAUCAGUUUUGCAACGGGAUAUAAUCAAAUUUCCCCAAGCGCAACAUAUUAACCUGGAAACAUAUUUCCAAUAUUCAUAGAAUAAAACCAAAGCACCAUAGCUACACAGCUGGUUUGAUCAAUAGAUGGCAUUUUCUAUUUCAUCAUUAUAUUGCUGUCCUUUUCUUGCAAUGUGUUUCGACUAGCUUCAUCUAAUCUUGACCUAUAUACUCUUUCCGAACAAAAAUCUAUUGGUCCGUGUGGUCAGAUACAUGGGUAUCAUCACCAACAACCUUUACUCAAAUCUCACCAUCCAAAUAGACAUAGAGCGACAACGCCGCGCGCGACGAAAAAUAGCUCAAAAUUUCACUAGGUGUAGAUCAAAGUAGCUCAUUUGACUCAGUCAACCAACUUGUUUUUUAUUUGAAAACACACAAAAAUAGGUUAAAAUGUGUUCAAAUCUAUUUUUUUUACGUUUGGCAAUAAUCUGGCUUGUAAACAAAGUAGAUAAUUCGAUUAUUUCGGAUGAAGCAAAAAUGUCGCGCGAGACGAGUAGCUCUGUUUGCAAAAUUGAGCUACUUUUUGUCGCGCGCGACGUUGUCGCUGUAUGUCUAUUUGGACGGUGAAAACACAAAAAAAUAGGUUAAAAUGUGUUCAAACAUAAUUUUUUACUUUUGGCAUUAAUCUAGCUUGUAAACAAACUAGAUAAUUUGAUUAUUUCGGAUGAAGCAGAAAUGUCGCGCGAGACGAGUAUCUCUGUUUGCAAAUUUGAGCUACUCUUUGUCGCUUGAGACGUCGUCGCACGCGACGUUGUCGCUCUGUGUCUAUUUGAACGGUUAGAAUGCAUAAGUCGUUUGCCGUCUACUAAACGAAGUCUUUUUACAUUUCGGUUAGGUUGAGAGUCGUUUAGAACGUGUUUUGUGUUCGUUUAGGGCCGUAUCUGUGCUUCAUCGCAUGCGAUUUUAUCGCUCGUGCUGUCAAACGCCUUUUCGUAUAAUAUUGCGAUAAUUUGGAUGAUUUUAAAAAUAUAACGAUUAUGAAAAAUUAAGUUUAGAUUGUUCCUACAAAACACCACACAUUAAGUUUGACGGAUAAAAUCGGAUGCGGCGUCCGACGAAAUAAAAAAAAAA